rnacentral:lncRNA from 1 species
UCUGUCGUCAGACUCCAAGUUUGAGCUUUUGGAAAGAACCAAAGCACAAAUUGAUAAAGAGAAUGAAGUUCAAAAUGUGGGACAACCCUAGAAUCAAAGAUUAAAAAUCAGAUUUCGUAUAAAUUGUAAAAUAUAAAAUAUAAGAGGAAAACAUGAAGAAAAUAAAUCAGGAAAGAAGAAUUGAAGAAGGAAAAAGGAUCUAACUUCUAAGGGAGAAAGAGCUUACACUGCGAGAGUUGGAAGGCCUCCGGCUCCGGCAAAUUGUGGUAGCACGCCGACGAUCAACAACCUUAGACUUUUUGUUUUGGGAGUUGAGAAGAUUAGAAGAAACAGCCUUAUGGUUUAUUUAUUAAAAAGAAUAAAUGG